AGAAGCUGCUGGAGAACUUCCCGGUGCAGGCUACCCUCUUCUUUUAUGAGGACUCGGGAAGCGAGGAGGAGGAAGAAGAAGAAGAAGAAGGGGAUGAUGAAGAGGAGGCGACAGGGGAUGUGACCGCGGGACACCCGCGGUACGCUGGCCCCUGCCCCAGCAGACCGGCGUGAGGCAAUAGGCAGGGGAAGGCAGACCGCGCUGCGUGCGGCAGCGGGGCCAGACCCGCCCGCAGCUCCGGCCAACUCCCGGGGCCGCUCCCGGGCCGCGCCUGCACUCCGCGGGACUACGGCGGAGCUCAGGACUACGACUCCCAGCAGCCACCGCGGCGCCGCCCGGCAGCCGCAGCCCGCUCUGAUUGGCUGCCGAGCCAUCCCGAGCUGGGGGAGGAGUGUGUGGCCCCGCCCCGCACCCCCAUCGCGAGGGGAAGGCGGUGCGUGCGGGCCGGGGAGGGGCGCGAUUGGCCGAGGGGAUGGAGGGGGCGUGUCGGGGGCGUGGCUUUUCCUCCCCUGCCCGUCGGCGGGAGGGAGCGGCUGCGGCGGGCGCGGGGCCGCCAUGAGGUAGGCAGGAGCCCCCCUUGGCCGAGUGAGGCAGCAUGGCAAGUGGGAGUCGAGAGGAGGUGCUGAAGGUCUGAUCUCUCCGGGACUACCCGGAGGCUGCAGCAUUUCUGUCUCUGUGGUGCAGGAUGGGCCUCCCCAGGGCUCUCUGGGCUGCCUGUCUGUGCUGACAUCUCUCAUCCACAGUGCCCCUCAUGCCCAUGACUGGCACCCUGCCAGUGCCCACCCUGGGGGCCACACUGCCUUGUGUGGCUGGUGGCACCGUGGCUCUGUGUUCUGUGGAAGCUGCUGAGCUCAGCCCCACCCUGAGCUCGCUGUGACACACCCAGAGCAGUGCUGGGCCAGCACUAAAGAUGGGCUGAGACUGGCGAGGCUGCAGAGGGGUGUGUGGUCUGUCCAGAGCCUCCCUCCUCGCUCUCCUGGGCAGCCUGCACGGAGGCUCCGUGCCCUGGUGUGAUGGGAGCGUAAGGAGAACGGCAAUAAUGAAGGGGGAGAUGGAGAGAUCUGUCUGGGAUCUCGGGAUUUGCUCGGAGUGUCACCAGAGCCAGCUGUGAAGGUGGAGGCAGGAGCCACGCUG
rnacentral:lncRNA from 1 species